AAUAAAUGCAUACCUUUAUUUUGUAGGGAAUAAAUGCAUACCAUCGAUGGCAUGUGCUACUAGCUGGAUAUAUGCUGCCCUCUGUCCUCCAGUCUACUAGAUCACAAUCACAACACAAAACCAAGAGCGACCACCUGAGUUGGAUGACCAUGGCAAAGUAUGCACGUAUGUUUUUCAUCCUUAUGGUCCUUGUUCUACGCGCCAGCUUCCAAGCCCAAGGACAACUAGGACCGACGGAGCCAUACAACUUCACAUAGUACAUCCCAAGAAACCAUGUGUUCAAGCACCAAGCUGUUGCUAUCAGAUAAACUGCAAUGAUCCUGGAAAACCACUUGGUACUUGUAUUGAAUGUGCGAUCUCCUGUAAUUGUGAUAAUAGUUGCAAGUGAUCAAGUGUUUUUCCCUUUAAAAACUGGAGCAAUUUGAUAGAAUGACACACUUUUCCUUGUA